CCGGGCUACAAGACUUUCUAAAUCCUAACAUUGCUGAGCCUCACAACGACCGCCUUUCCUGUAGUUUUGUCUUUCCAACAUACGUAUUGGUGCACACAAGAGCCUUGGUUGUAAGGAUUCUCGAUACCAUGCUCUUAACGUAGCUAGAACGAGAUGUGGCUCAAAGCAGAGUCAAACGGUUUCAGUCAGACAUUCACGCUUGCCAUACAAAGUUGAAAUAUCUAAUAGCCAAUACAUUUUGAAUUGAAUAACAUUGCUUGUGAAUAUCAGAGCUGUAACCGUUUGACACGUUGGCUAAAGCAAAUACCAAGGUAGUCAUGGCUCCUGCUCCAGAGGGAAUACCAGGUAGUCAUGGCUCCUGCUCCAGAGGGAAUACCAGGUAGUCAUGGCUCCUGCUCCAGAGGGAAUACCAGGUAGUCAUGGCUCCUGCUCCAGAGGGAAUACCAGGUAGUCAUGGCUCCUGCUCCAGAGCAAAUACCAGGUAGUCAUGGCUCCUGCUCCAGAGGGAAUACCAGGUAGUCAUGGCUCCUGCUCCAGAGCAAAUACCAGGUAGUCAUGGCUCCUGCUCCAGAGCAAAUACCAGGUAGUCAUGGCUCCUGCUCCAGAGCAAAUACCAGGUAGUCAUGGCUCCUGCUCCAGAGGGAAUACCAGGUAGUCAUGGCUCCUGCUCCAGAG